AGCUUGAACUACAUCACUUGUAAAGACUCCCUAAAUUAUAGACAUAUCCAAAACAAACUGCAGUACUCCUUCCUUCCCUAUAGUAUUUUAUAAGUAUAUAGUAUCAUAAAUGCUUCUUACUAUUUUGGUUACCGAUUUAAUCAAUUCGUUUGAUGUGCUUUAGUAAUAGCUGAAAGUUUUGGUGUCACCUCUAUUGUAAGGGGAGAAAGAACUAUAGGUCAAAGCCUCCUCAUAUCUGAUGCUGAUAUAUUUAGCUUUAGAAUUAUGGAUUUAGAUGUCUUCCUGAUUCCCCUCCUCUUUCAUUGCCCUACUUUUAGAGCUUCUCUUCUUUGUUUGUGCAGAUUUUGUUUCUCUAUGUCUUCCUGAUUCCCCCCUAUUUCAGUGCUCUACUUUUAGAGCUUCUCUUCUUUGUUUGUGCAGAUUUUGUUUCUCUAUGCCUACAGACGAUCGCAGAAAAUCCAAGAAGAUUGACACGAGUGACCCCGGACCCGGAGGCUGUACCAAUCAUGUUUAUAGCACUACAAACUUGGAAUACGUCCAGUAUUUAUUAUCUUGGUAAUUCACUGCAUAUGAAGAAAGGACAACCGUUCAUGGACCCAUCCCAAGAGGUAUCGAUCUGCAGAAACUUACAUCUAGGUGUUUGUCCUGAACAUAUAUGCAUAGGAGGUGAUGGUUACAUUUAAGCUCAUCUGGUGGUGGUUGUUGCCGCUCCUUCUCUCCACGGCGUAGACCUUGUCGUCAAGCUCAUCUUCUAUCCUAAGGUGAUGAUCUUUCUGCAAGUUGCUGCCUGGGUUUAUAGUCCCGUUCGUUUCUUUACAAGACACAGAUGACAGAAAUGCCGCAAUGGGACCAGGUCGUUACCUUUUUCCGCCUCUAUCC